rnacentral:rRNA from 1 species
CAGUAGCCGCGGGAAUACAGAGGGUGCGAGCGUUAAUCGGAUUUACUGGGCGUAAAGCGUGCGUAGGCGGCUUCUUAAGUCGGAUGUGAAAUCCCUGAGCUUAACUUAGGAAUUGCAUUCGAUACUGGGAAGCUAGAGUAUGGGAGAGGAUGGUAGAAUUCCAGGUGUAGCAGUGAAAUGCGUAGAGAUCGGAAGGAACAUCUGUGGCGAAGGCGACUAUCUGGGCCAACACUGACACUGAGGCACGAAAGCGUGGGGAGCAAACAGGAUUAGAUACCCGUGUAGUCCAUGUCUCUUAUAC